rnacentral:rRNA from 1 species
AUACAGAGGGUGCAAGCGUUAAUCGGAAUUACUGGGCGUAAAGCGCGCGUAGGCGGUUUGAUAAGUCGGAUGUGAAAUCCCUGGGCUCAACCUGGGAACUGCAUUCGAAACUGUCUGACUAGAGUAUGGUAGAGGGUGGUGGAAUUCCUAGUGUAGCGGUGAAAUGCGUAGAUAUUAGGAGGAACAUCAGUGGCGAAGGCGACCACCUGGACCAAUACUGACGCUGAGGUGCGAAAGCGUGGGGAGCAAACAGGAUUAGAAACCCCUGUAGUCC